AGCCAUCCAAGGCCUAUUUGAUUGGAUUGAUCAACAAAAUUAUUGAGAUCAAGAUAAAGCAAAUUCGUGAGGUUUCCAAGACUUUGUGGAAUAGUCCCACUGAAAAAUGAGCCUGACAGAUUGAGGUAUCUCAGUUCCUUUAGUGAUCCAAUGAAUUCUAGAACUUUGAAGCCUUUAAAAUUAUUCAUGCUUAAGUCUAAGUAUUUCAAAUCUUUCAACUGAAGCAGAGAUGGACUUAUCGGACCACCCAAUUCGUGUCCUGCAUCAUCUUUAUAUGCGUCAAAACUGUCUCGAAAUGGUUGGGCAAGUGCAGAUCCGAGUGAGCAACAACGAAGUAGCGAGAGAGCAAAGAUCCGAGAGAGCAAGUGCAGAUCCGAGAGAGCAAAGACGAAGUAGCAGCAGCUGGACGGAGUCGGAGCAGCAACGGUUACGGCGGAGAAAGAGCAGCGGCAGUGGCUAGCACACCAAGAGCGACCAAGAGAGAGAUUUGCUGCAACUGGAUUGAGAAAAUUGAGGGGAAAGAGGGAGCUGCAGUGAACUGGAUUUUGAGUGAGGGCUGCAGAGGGUCACGAUUUUUUUAUUGUUUUUUAAUUCAUUUUUAGGUUUAGUUUGUAAAAUUUGGAGAACAUGUUUAACUUGUUUUCAGUUGUAUAGUUAUAAUAAUAAAUCCGGAUUUUGUGUUUUGUAAUUUGUUUUGUGAAACAAAACCACCAAACAUGUUUUACGUGUGUAUUAUAAAAAUGAAAACGAAAACAUGGCUUGCAAAACGGUACCAAACGGGGCCUAAUGUAUUCUAGUUCUCAUUUCUUAUUCCACUCUAUUUUUAUUACAGCCCAUUUUGAAAUACUAACAUCUUAUUUCCAUUGCAAUAAAUAAUACCACCCGCCUCCAAAUUGGAUGCAAAUAUAUCUCUUUGGAAUUGAAAUACUAACAUCUUAUUUCCAUUGCAAUAAAUAAUACCACCCGCCUCCAAAUUGGAUGCAAAUAUAUCUCUUUGGAAUUGAAAUACUAACAUCUUAUUUCCAUUGCAAUAAAUAAUACCACCCGCCUCCAAAUUGGAUGCAAAUAUAUCUCUUUGGAAUUGAAAUACUAACAUCUUAUUUCCAUUGCAAUAAAUAAUACCACCCGCCUCCAAAUUGGAUGCAAAUAUAUCUCUUUGGAAUUGAAAUACUAACAUCUUAUUUCCAUUGCAAUAAAUAAUACCACCCGCCUCCAAAUUGGAUGCAAAUAUAUCUCUUUGGAAUUGAAAUACUAACAUCUUAUUUCCAUUGCAAUAAAUCAACUUAAAAUGUGCAUUUUGAAACGGGUAGGUGUAUGCACUGAAGUAGGAUACAUCAUUUUGACAUUUUUGAGAAAAUAAUGAUUUAAACAAAAUAAUUAUAAAAAAAUUACAUGAUACACAUUAUGCAUUACGUAUGUAAUCAUGCCACAUAAAAACUGCAAUUCCAUCUCUUGUAGCAUUCAUCUCUGCGACACUUGCUGGAGAUAAAUCAAUAUUAGUAAGUGGCCUACUAGUGUCUCAUUCAUCGUUGGUAACCAAAUCUUGCACAUAAAAGUCCCCAAAUAACAAUUGAAAUUAGACGUUGCUUACGUAAAUUAUAAUUAUGCAUGUCCCUUAAAAUUAAAAAUCGCGCUUUUAAAACACCAAAGCAUCGCUCAAUUACAAUUGGGCAAGCGCAACUCAACAAGAGAACGAAGCAUACGAAUACUUUCAAGCCAAUAUGCUGCAUCCUUGCUAAGAUCUGCCCCUCCCAAGUUAAGAUAUUUCAAGGAAGGAAGACCAGAAAGCCAUCCAAGGCCUAUUUGAUUGGAUUGAUCAAGAAAAUUAUUGAGAUCAAGAUAAAGCAAAUUCGUGAGGUUUCCAAGACUUUGUGGAAUAGUCCCACUGAAAAAUGAGCCUGACAGAUUGAGGUAUCUCAGUUCCUUUAGUGAUCCAAUGAAUUCUGGAACUUUGAAGCCUUUAAAAUUAUUCAUGCUUAAGUCUAAGUAUUUCAAAUCUUUCAACUGAAGCAGAGAUGGACUUAUCGGACCACCCAAUUCGUGUCCUGCAUCAUCUUCAUAUGUGUCAAAACUGUCUCGAAAUGG
rnacentral:lncRNA from 1 species